rnacentral:rRNA from 1 species
GAUGAACGCUGGCGGCGUGCCUAAUACAUGCAAGUCGAGCGAACAGACGAGGAGCUUGCUCCUCUGACGUUAGCGGCGGACGGGUGAGUAACACGUGGAUAACCUACCUAUAAGACUGGGAUAACUUCGGGAAACCGGAGCUAAUACCGGAUAAUAUAUUGAACCGCAUGGUUCAAUAGUGAAAGACGGGUUUGCUGUCACUUAUAGAUGGAUCCGCGCCGCAUUAGCUAGUUGGUAAGGUAACGGCUUACCAAGGCAACGAUGCGUAGCCGGCCUGAGAGGGUGAUCGGCCACACUGGAACUGAGACACGGUCCAGACUCCUACGGGAGGCAGCAGUAGGGCAUCUUGCGCAAUGGGCGAAAGCCUGACGGAGCAACGCCGCGUGAGUGAUGAAGGUCUUCGGAUCGUAAAACGCUGUUAUUAGGGAAGAACAAAUGUGUAAGUAACUAUGCACGUCUUGACGGUACCUAAACAGAAAGCAACGGCUAACUACGUG